rnacentral:tRNA from 1 species
GGAGGCGUCGCAUAGUGGCUUAGUGCACCGUCUUGGAAAGACGGCAUACCGCAAGGUAUCAGAGGUUCAAAUCCUCUCGCCUCCG